rnacentral:rRNA from 1 species
UGGAGCAUGUGGUUUAAUUCGAAGCAACGCGAAGAACCUUUACCAGGUCUUGACAUCCCGAUGCUAUUUCUAGAGAUAGAAAGUUACUUCGGUACAUCGGUGACAGGUGGUGCAUGGUUGUCGUCAGCUCGUGUCGUGAGAUGUUGGGUUAAGUCCCGCAACGAGCGCAACCCCUAUUGUUAGUUGCCAUCAUUCAGUUUGGGCACUCUAGCGAGACUGCCGGUAAUAAACCGGAGGAAGGUGGGAUGACGUCAAAUCAUCAUGCCCCUUAUGACCUGGGCUACACACGUGCUACAAUGGUUGGUACAACGAGUUGCGAGUCGGUGACGGCGAGCUAAUCUCUUAAAGCCAAUCUCAGUUCGGAUUGUAGGCUGCAACCCGCCUGCAUGAAGAUGGAGUUGCUAGUAACCGCAGGUCAGCUAUACUGCGGUGAAUACGUUCCCGGGGCUU